CAGUCGCCACGGGAAUACGGAGGGUGCAAGCGUUAAUCGGAAUUACUGGGCGUAAAGCGCACGCAGGCGGUCUGUCAAGUCGGAUGUGAAAUCCCCGGGCUCAACCUGGGAACUGCAUCCAAAACUGGCGAGCUAGAGUAUGGUAGAGGGUGGUGGAAUUUCCUGUGUAGCGGUGAAAUGCGUAGAUAUAGGAAGGAACAUCAGUGGCGAAGGCGACCACCUGGACUGAUACUGACACUGAGGUGCGAAAGCGUGGGGAGCAAACAGGAUUAGAUACCCGGGUAGUCCCUGUCUCUUAUAC
rnacentral:rRNA from 1 species